rnacentral:tRNA from 1 species
GACCCUAUAGCUCAGUUGGUAGAGCAUCCUGGAUAUUAUGGGAAGGUCCUAGGUUCAAAUCCUAUAGGGUGU